rnacentral:rRNA from 12 species
CCUAAGGCGAACCCGAAAGGGGUAGUCGAUGGACAAUCAGUUAAUAUUCUGAUACCACCUUUAUUUUCGAUGGGGUGACGGAGUAGUGAAAGUACCGCGUACUGACGGAAUAGUACGUUGAAGAGUGUAGGUAUAGGCGAUGUAGGUAAAUCCGCAUUGCUUGCUGAACUUGAUAGUACCACAAAUCUUCGGAUGCGUGGAUAGUGUACCUAAUCAGACUUCCAAGAAAACCCUCUAAGAUUAGAAUAAAGGUGCCCGUACCGUAAACCGACACAGGUAGUCAAGGAGAGAAUC